rnacentral:rRNA from 1 species
UACGAAGGGGGCUAGCGUUGCUCGGAAUCACUGGGCGUAAAGCGCACGUAGGCGGAUUGUUAAGUCAGGGGUGAAAUCCUGGAGCUCAACUCCAGAACUGCCUUUGAUACUGGCGAUCUCGAGUCCGGGAUAGGUGAGUGGAACUGCGAGUGUAGAGGUGAAAUUCGUAGAUAUUCGCAAGAACACCAGUGGCGAAGGCGGCUCACCGGCCCGGUACUGACGCUGAGGUGCGAAAGCGUGGGGAGCAAACAGG